UACGAGUGCCUCGAGCGUUAUCCGGCAUCAUUGGGCGUAAAGGGUGUGCAGGCGGUCUGAUUAGUCUUCUGUUAAAUUUCUCGGCUUAACCGGGAACCUGCAGGGGAAACGGUCAGACUUGAGGAUGCGAGAGGUUAACGGAACUCAUAGUGUAGCGGUGAAAUGCGUUGAUAUUAUGGGGAACACCAAAUGCGAAGGCAGUUAACUGGAGCACUCCUGACGCUGAAACACGAAAGCGUGGGUAGCGAAUGGG
rnacentral:rRNA from 1 species